UACGUAGGGGGCAAGCGUUGUCCGGAUUUAUUGGGCGUAAAGAGCGUGUAGGCGGCUUUACAGGUCCGUUGUGAAAACUCGAGGCUCAACCUCGAGACGCCGGUGGAAACCGUAAGGCUAGAGUCCGGAAGAGGAGAGUGGAAUUCCUGGUGUAGCGGUGAAAUGCGCAGAUAUCAGGAAGAACACCAAUGGCGAAGGCAGCUCGCUGGGACGUAACUGACGCUGAGACGCGAAAGCGUGGGGAGCAAACAGG
rnacentral:rRNA from 1 species